GUCUAACAGUUGUGUUUUAUUAUCUGAUGUAGUUUAUUUAAGCAGGGCAAAGCACUGGACAUAUUUUCUCCACCGAUCUACGCUUCUUCUUUAGCCAAGGGCAUGCUGAAAGACGACUUGCCAACUCUCUCGUCAUGACUACAGUGGACUGGCUCGAUUCCCCGCAGCGCGCAGGGAAACCCGACCUCACGACGCAUCAGCAGGUGAACUAGGAAAAAGAAUGUGUCUGUUGCGCUAAAGAGGGUGAGGACAAGCCUAAGCAACGAGGCGCAGAAUCAUCAUAUCCACCCGGCAGACGGCAAGUGACACCAAACAAUCCGUGAGAGGAGGGUAAUUGGAGAUCAUUGGGCUUAUUCUGAGCAUGCCAAAUACACCAUGCUUGAAGACUCGAGAGGAACAUAUGGAGCUUCGGUCUCCGAAGUCACUGUCCGACACCAGUGAAAUGGGGCACCGCAAAGCAAUAUGGGUAACAUGGGAAAACGAAACAUCCAGUGAGGACGCUGGCGGUGCUGUUUGCAGCCUUUAUUUGGACACAGCGGGGUCUCACGGCUGCAGAGGAGAGUGGCCGAGAGGGAGUGAUAUGUGACACUAAAAUAACAGCAUAUAGAGUGGUAAAUAUGUCAUGACAUGCACACGUUUGUUCAAGAUGCGAGGCUUCAGCAGUAAUAAAACUCCAACUUCCCCUGUCGUUAACAUGUAAAAGACGCUGGGGAACCUUUUUUUUUGCAGCCUUUGCAUUUAAACUGAUAGCAGCCAGGGCGCAGCUCUGCAUGUGGUCGUGAACUGACUGACUAAUUUGUUGCAAAUGAGCACUGGCCGGGGCCACAGAGCAGUGAGCCAUGCCAUUAACUCCCUUUGUAGGGAGAGAAGACUUUUCUCUUGGGUGAGAGAUUAUAGGGUCUUAAAAGUGUUUGCUGACAGAGUGUCUUUAAUAUGAUGACAUAAAUGUGUAAUCCAUCUCAGA